GACUUUGUUAUUCUUUCCCAUUUGUGAGAAAAAUUAAGCUCCACAAAAGAAAGGAUAUGUGUUGGAGACAACUUGGAUUUUGCCAGCACGCCACCUCCCACCGGGAGGGCACUCAGUGACUUCCAUGAACAGAAGGAAGAAGGAAGGAAAUGGCCGUGGCUUUGAGGAGAUGUGGACAUCUCAUUCCCAGGUGGGAUGCAAUGAUGCAUUCAUAUUUGGCCACAAGGAGAGGGCAGAGUGUCUUCAGUUUGUGUUAGAAUGCUGAAAACUCAGCAGAAUUCUUGUUAUGCAUUUCAUUCUGUUCUGAAAGGAAGGGAGAGUGUCCAAGAUACAGGCAGAGAAGCCAUCGGAUGGCCAAAAGGGUGCUCAGGGGUUUGUCCGUUCAGCCCACAUGUACUGAGUGUCUGUCCUGAGCUAUGCAAAGUUGCCAAGACCUCAAGAUGGAGAAGGAGAAGCCUUUGCAAUACCACAGGAGAGACAGGACGUGAAGGGGGACGAGGCAAGCUCAAGGCAACAGGACGCAGAGGAAGGGGUUCAUACCUCAGAAGUUUUAGAGAAACUUAGCAAAGGAAAGAGAACAAUACAAGGGCUGUUCCUGAACUCUGAACAAAGACUUAUCAACACGCUGGGCUUGUUAACUCAGCUACAGAUGUGAGCAUGCGUCAGGGGUCCGUCCGUGAUUGGCUGCUGGAGGGUGAACUGUGGUCAGAGACCUGGGCCUCCAUCUGCCUGUUACAGGAUGUGAGAUUGGGGGAAAGUUGCUGAAUUCUUCUAGCCCUCAGAAUUUUCUCAUCUGUAAAAUGGGGAUAGUAAGCCCCUUGCAACAUAUCUCAGACCCAGGCAGUCAGAGUACCACACCCUGCUGGCCACAGUGGAGAAGUGGUUAGUUCAAGGAUGGAUGCUCCUUGAAAUUUCAUUGGAGGAAUCAGGAAAAAGAUACUCUGUCAUGCCUGGUUGCUCAAUCAGCUGUUAAGCCUCCACUUAAGGAGAGCCUGCCUGAGAAUAGAGCCAGUUGAGAAGACCCUGGCCUGGAUACAGGGUACAGGCAGCUGUUGGGUGGCCUCCUGGGAGCACCUUGAGCCACCUUCCCCUGGAUCCAUUCUGGUCUCUUCUGCACAUGAACCAAUACAUUUCCUUCAUUUGCUUAACAGAAAGAAUAAUGCAAAAAGAAGGCCCACCUACUUCAACCACCUUCAUUGAACUCCCCAAUUCCUCUGCAGGGCCCACACUGACUCUCACGAGGUUCCCUGACACUCUCUCCGGGAAGUGGACUCACUACAAGGACCAAGGGAAACUAGGGCAGGAACUUUGGUAUGAGCAUCUGCCAACCAGAGUGCCCUGCUUCCUGAAGGUUCAGGAAACAGAAUGUUCCUCCGCCCUGUAGAUAAGAGCCCCACCCCAUGGUCACAGGCCAGGGUGCAAACAGUGUGGGAGGAAAGGGUGUCAGCUGGGGACAGCCUUUCACAGGCCCAAAGCUCCAGUUCUGGACACACAGGUGCCCCUGUGAGCAAGAGAAACAGCGCCUUGGUCCUCAUAGCUGGGGAAGAGGUGGGGCGUAAUCACCCUCCACACCUAAUAGGUCACUUUUGCUGAACUAAGAACUGGCUUUGCAUUGGUUAUCCUCUAGGAGAAAAAAAAAAAAUCAAUUAAUAAAAAUACAGUGGUU